CUUCUUUUUAGGGAUGGAACCUCAGCCUGUGCCAGAGCUGAGUGGCCCCAGAAGACACUGAGGAUGGCCUGAGACCUGAGCCUAAGCGACUCCAUUUUAAAACUCCAGUUUGAAACCUGCAGUCUCACCAGGCACACCCACAGAGCCCUCCAGUGUGGCCUCAGACAAGUCACUUCCCCUCACCCUGAGAAGCAGAGUGAAGCCCCUGGCAGGCUGUCCUCCCCUGAUCAGAGGCAAAGGGAGAAGAUCAGGGUGGAGACCACCAGACCAGAUGUCUCUGACCCCAGGGUAAAUGACGUCACUGAGAAAUCUGGUGGUAGAUAAGGGUUGCAAGGGGCGGGUCAAAAGCCCCCAAAUUUAGUAUAAAUAACAGAGCUGACCAACAGGGAUUCAGCCGGCUGAAACAGGAUGCACUCGAGCUGGAGAGCCUGAUGAGGACCUGACGUCCCAUCACUUGUCACCGUUCCUGAUCCUCUGCAUGACCCUCACGGCUCUCAAACUCUACCGCCUAGUCUGGACCUGGGUGAGAGCUGCGGCUUCUUCCUAGGACCCUCUCCUCGACCCGUCGUCCACUCCACACCAGGUAAAGCUUGCUUUGGCUCCGGACCUGGUCACUGCAGUCUGAGUGAGUGUGCAUCUGCUGGACAUAAAGCCUAAGGCUUGAGACUUUUGAACUUAGCACGCAGAGGGAAUGUCUGUCACUAGCCUGUCAUGAUUAAGUGUGUUUGCAGUGCUGAGCAUUAAUCCAGAAUUGUUUGCUGUGAAUGGAUUAUGUCUAUUGCAGUGCCUAGCAUUAAGAUUUCCAUUUUCUAGAUUAAGAACCUGUAGAGUGAAAUUGCAUUGAGUAAUUUGAGUAAAUAAAGCAUCGAA
rnacentral:lncRNA from 1 species